AUUGAACGCUGGCGGCAGGCCUAACACAUGCAAGUCGAACGAGUGGCGGACGGGUGGGUAUGGUCUGGGAACCUGCCCGAUGGGGGGGGAUAACUACUGGAAACGGUAGCUAUUACCGCAUACAACCGAAUGUGCCCAGAUGGAAUUAGCUAGUAGGGGGGGUAACGGCUCACCUAGGCGACGACCCCUAGCUGGUCUGAGAGGAUGACCAGCCACACUGGAACUGAGACACGGUCCAGACUCCUACGGAAGGCAGCGAUGGGGAAUAUUGCACAAUGGGCGCAAGCCUGAUGCAGCCAUGCCGAGUGUAUGAAGAAGGCCUUCGGGUUGUAAAGUACUUUCAGCGAGGAGGCGUUACUCGCAGAAGAAGCACCGGCUAACUCCGUGCCAGCAGCCGCGGUAAUAC
rnacentral:rRNA from 1 species